rnacentral:rRNA from 1 species
GAUCUUGGCUCAGGACGAACGCUGGCGGCGUGCCUAACACAUGCAAGUCGAACGAAGCUCCCCGAUACAAGGCUUCGGCCAAGUUGAAGGGAUGACUUAGUGGCGGACGGGUGAGUAACGCGUGAGGAACCUGCCUUUCAGUGGGGGACGAACAGUUGGAAACGACUGCUAAUACCGCAUAAUGUGCCUUGGGGGCGAUCCCUGGGGUACCAAAGCUUUAUGUGCUGAAAGAUGGCCUCGCGUCUGAUUAG